rfam:Megasphaera sp. DJF_B143 contig_20, whole genome shotgun sequence.
CGUACCUUUAAUAUAGUCCAGAGAGGCUAAAAAGGGACAUAUGUUACGUGUGCCUUGAUAUGACCUUUGCCUUUCGGCGAAGGUCUUUUUUUAC